CUUUCCCCGAGUCUUGCAGCCCUGAAGUAUCCCUGUCCUGUGGUGGACAGCUCCCCACACUUGGAGGUUUCCCACCCAUAGGGUUUUGAGGGGGGUUGGAGGGGUUGGAGGGGUUGGAGCUGAUAGACCUGGAGGGGAUCACCUGACCAGGGGACCAGAGACAGCAGCCCAGGGACCACCC
rnacentral:lncRNA from 12 species